ACGAAGGGUGCAAGCGUUACUCGGAAUUACUGGGCGUAAAGCGUGCGUAGGUGGUGGGUUAAGUCUGUCGUGAAAGCCCCGGGCUCAACCUGGGAAUGGCGAUGGAUACUGGCUCGCUAGAGUGCGGUAGAGGAGAGUGGAAUUCCCGGUGUAGCAGUGAAAUGCGUAGAUAUCAAGAGGAACACCAGUGGCGAAGGCGAGUCCCUGGACAACACCUGACACUGAGGCACGAAAGCUAGGGGAGCAAACAGGA
rnacentral:rRNA from 1 species